rnacentral:rRNA from 1 species
AUUGAACGCUGGCGGCAGGCCUAACACAUGCAAGUCGAGCGGAUGAAGGGAGCUUGCUCCUGGAUUCAGCGGCGGACGGGUGAGUAAUGCCUAGGAAUCUGCCUGGUAGUGGGGGAUAACGUCCGGAAACGGGCGCUAAUACCGCAUACGUCCUGAGGGAGAAAGUGGGGGAUCUUCGGACCUCACGCUAUCAGAUGAGCCUAGGUCGGAUUAGCUAGUUGGUGGGGUAAAGGCCUACCAAGGCGACGAUCCGUAACUGGUCUGAGAGGAUGAUCAGUCACACUGGAACUGAGCCACGGUCCAGACUCCUACGGUAGGCAGCAGUGGGGAAUAUUGGACAAUGGGCGAAAGCCUGAUCCAGCCAUGCCGCGUGUGUGAAGAAGGUCUUCGGAUUGUAAAGCACUUUAAGUUGGGAGGAAGGGCAGUAAGUUAAUACCUUGCUGUUUUGACGUUACCAACAGAAUAAGCACCGGCUAACUUCGUG